GGGAAGCGCCGCGAAGUAGAUUUUAAAUAAGGUCAAACAUUAUAAAUAAUAAUAUAUUGGUUUAUUAUUUGUAUAUCUUUUUCUAUUUAUUUAAAUUAAUAAAUUAAACGAUUAGAAAAUUGAUUUGAUUAUUCAUUUAUUUGAGUAAUUAGUGUAGUUAUUCUUUAAUAUAUAAUUUUAUUAUAUUUUUUACUAGGUACUUAACUGCUUUUUUUUAGGUCUAAUUAGUUUCGACUAACCCAUCUGAGUAACAUCUCAAAAGUCAUAGCAAGGUAGCUUGUACUGGAA
rnacentral:rRNA from 1 species